rnacentral:lncRNA from 1 species
GGCCGCGACGCUAUGGCGCACUGGAGUACCCUGUUCCUGGCAGGGAGGAACAGGAAGAGAAGAGUGUGGCCUCCUAGAAAUCUAGCACGGAGAAAGACUGGUCUUGAACUCCUGACCUCGUGAUACUCAGCCUCCCAAAGUGCUGGGAUUACAGGAGUGAACCACCAAGCCCGGCUUGACCUCUUGGCUUUUACCAAAGGAUGUUUGCUUCUGAGGAAGCUGGAAGCUGCAGCCACAAUGUGCCUUUGCAGGGGAGCCUGAGAGCCACAGGUUAACGACAUGGCCACAGAUGAUAGCCUGGCUGCACAAGCUAAACCAAGGAAUGUGAUUUGUGAUUGUUCCUAUUGCCUGCAAGUGCUAUACUCCGUGUAACCAAGAUUUUAUAAGCCGGAAGAGUUAUAAAAUACUUACCUCUGAAAAAAGUCUACUUCCUGUAAAAAUUUUUCACACAUCCCAAAUAAGGGGUAAAGUCUGUAGAAAAGAAACGUAAAAUAAUUUGCUUGUGAAAUCUGCAAACUGAGGUGGACCAAAGUCCCAGAAACCUGAGCCUAAAUUAAAGGAAAAUUAGUAUAUUACACUAUAAAAACGAUCUCUAAAAGUAACAGAAGACUCCUAAUGGACCUGGGGGAAACACCUGUCGGGAUCCCAAGACCUGAUUAAACCACUGCAGUGCCCAUUAAGCUCAAAGAAUAUUAAAAAUCAAAGACUAUCACAGGCUACACUUGGCACUAGACUCACUACGAAUACAGAAGAGAAGCAUAGCAUGUGGGCAGUACAGUGUCAAGUUCCCCUUCUUCAGGAGUCCUUGCUUCAUUAACAUCUCAGCUAGCAUGGUCUCUAUACCUAUCUGAUUUAGAUCUCAUCUCCUUGCACAUGAGCUGUCAGCAUUGGGAUGAAAGCUCCCAGAUAGCUGUGUGGACUGCUGCAAGAUCUACCCAGUUUCAAGAAUCACUGCACUCAAUGAAGCCUACAGCCAUUGUAUCGGCAUCUGGAAACUAGUUCAUUUAUAUUUCCUUCUGGUCUACAUGCAAUUUACUCAGAGAUCAUUUUUUCCAUAGCGGUAUAGCCUACUAAUGUAGUUGAUACUGUAAGGGCUCCAAGAAACAUACCUAAAAAGUUAACUAAAUUCCUAUGCGAGAGGUGAAAAGGUUUUGCUACUAUUUUGCCGACAGACAUGGAUGGUGUUCCUUCCUCUCUAUCUUGAAUUACUUGGCCUCACAGUACUUGAGAACAUUCCAUUUCAGUAAAAAGUUAUUGCAUACCUAAAUAAUCCAGGCAACAUGCUAGGUCAAUGUGACUUACUAAGUUUUGACCUUUGUAUAUUUUCUUCCUAUUUCUUGUAUGUAAUUUCUGCAUGAAAUUUCCCACUUGUUUUCUUUAAUAUAUUAUUCAUUGGAUGAAUAAAAGUUCCCACCAAGAUAAAACAAAUACUCUUUCCUUAUGUAAAAAUAUGUAAGAGAAUGAUGUCAAAGUUUAGUCUUUUUAUUAAAAUAUAGUCUCCAUGAGUA